GGCAAGAUGGCCGAGUGGUUAUGGCGUGUGACUCAAGCGUAAAGCUUCUUCGACCCAGUCGAUGAGUAUUCUCAUGGGCUCUGCCCGCAUGGGUUCGAAUCCCAUUCUGUAA
rnacentral:tRNA from 1 species